rnacentral:rRNA from 1 species
GACGAACGCUGGCGGCGUGCCUAAUACAUGCAAGUCGAACGCAGUGGGGACGGGUGAGUAACACGUGGGUAACCUCCCAUCAGAGGGGAUAACACUUGGAAACAGGUGCUAAACCGAUACUGAUGGAUGGACCCGCGGUGCAUUAGCUAGUUGGUGAGGUAACGGCUCACCAAGGCCACGAUGCAUAGCCGACCUGAGAGGGGUUACGGCCACACUGGGACUGAGACACGGCCCAGCCACCUACGUGAGGCAGCAGUAGGAAAUCUUCAGCAAUAGACGAAAGUCUGACCGAGCAAGGCCGCGGGAGUGAAGAAGGUUUUCGGAUCGUAAAACUCUGGUGUUAGAGAAGCGGUAUCUAACCAGAAAGCCACGGCUAACGACGGGACAGCAGGCGCGGUAAUUC